UGGGGAAUAUUGGACAAUGGGCGCAAGCCUGAUCCAGCCAUGCCGCGUGAGUGAUGAAGGCCUUAGGGUUGUAAAGCUCUUUCGCCGGUGAAGAUAAUGACGGUAACCGGAGAAGAAGCCCCGGCUAACUUCGUGCCAGCAGCCGCGGUAAUACGAAGGGGGCUAGCGUUGCUCGGAAUCACCGGGCGUAAAGCGCACGUAGGCGGAUCGUUAAGUCAGGGGUGAAAUCCUGGAGCUCAACUCCAGAACUGCCCUUGAUACUGGCGAUCUCGAGUUCGAGAGAGGUUGGUGGAACUCCGAGUGUAGAGGUGAAAUUCGUAGAUAUUCGGAAGAACACCAGUGGCGAAGGCGGCCAACUGGCUCGAUACUGACGCUGAGGUGCGAAAGCGUGGGGAGCAAAACAGGAUUAGAUACCCUGGUAGUCCACGCCGUAAAACGAUGGAUGCUAGCCGUUGGGGGGUUUACCUCUCAGUGGCGCAGCUAACGCCUUAAGCAUCCCGCCUGGGGAGUACGGUCGCAAGAUUAAAACUCAAAUGAAUUGACGGGGUCAUAGCUGUUUCUU
rnacentral:rRNA from 1 species